AUUGAACGCUGGCGGCAUGCCUUGCACAUGCAAGUCGAACGGCAGCGCGGACUUCGGUCUGGCGGCGAGUGGCGAACGGGUGAGCAAUGUAUCGGAACGUACCAUUGAGUGGGGGAUAACGUAGCGAAAGUUACGCUAAUACCGCAUAUUCUCUCCGGAGGAAAGCAGGGGACCGCAAGGCCUUGCGCUCUUUGAGCGGCCGAUAUCAGAUUAGCUAGUUGGUGGGGUAAAAGCUCACCAAGGCGACGAUCUGUAGCGGGUCUGAGAGGAUGAUCCGCCACACUGGAACUGAGACACGGUCCAGACUCCUACGGGAGGCAGCAGUGGGGAAUUUUGGACAAUGGGGGCAACCCUGAUCCAGCCAUGCCGCGUGAGUGAAGAAGGCCUUCGGGUUGUAAAGCUCUUUCGGCCGGGAAAAAAUCGCAUGGAUUAAUACUCUGUGUGGAUGAUGGUACCGGAAUAAGAAGCACCGGCUAACUACGUGCCAGCAGCCGCCGUAAUAC
rnacentral:rRNA from 1 species